rnacentral:rRNA from 1 species
UACGUAGGGGGCAAGCGUUGUCCGGAUUUAUUGGGCGCAAAGAGCGUGUAGGCGGCCUGACAGGUCUGCUGUGAAAACUCGAGGCUCAACCUCGAGAUGUCGGCGGAAACCGUCUGGCUAGAGUCCGGAAGAGGAGAGUGGAAUUCCUGGUGUAGCGGUGAAAUGCGCAGAUAUCAGGAGGAACACCGGUGGCGAAGGCGGGUCUCUGGGAAGUAACUGACGCUGAGAAGCGAAAGCAUGGGUAGCAAACAGG